AACGAACGCUGGCGGCAUGCCUAACACAUGCAAGUCGAACGAGACCUUCGGGUCUAGUUGCGCACGGGUGCGUAACGCGUGGGAACCUUCCCUUAGGUUCGGAAUAACUCCCCGAAAGGGGUGCUAAUACCGGAUAAUGUCUUCGGACCAAAGAUUUAUCGCCUUUGGAUGGGCCCGCGUUUGUUUUGCUAGUUGGUAGGGUAAAAGCCUACCAAGGCGACGAUCCAUAGCUGGUCUGAGAGGAUGAUCAGCCACACUGGGACUGAGACACGGCCCAGACUCCUACGGGAGGGAGCAGUGGGGAAUAUUGGACAAUGGGAGAGAGCCUGAUCCGGCAAUGCCGCGUGAGUGAUGAAGGCAUUAGGGUUGUAAAGCUCUUUUACCCGGGAUGAUAAUGACAGUACCGGGAGAAUAAGCACCGGCUAACUCCGUG
rnacentral:rRNA from 1 species